rnacentral:rRNA from 1 species
UACGUAGGUGGCGAGCGUUGUCCGGAUUUACUGGGCGUAAAGAGCGCGCAGGCGGUCGUUCAAGUCGCGUGUGAAAGCCCCCGGCUCAACUGGGGAGGGUCACGCGAUACUGAUCGACUCGAAGGCAGGAGAGGGUAGUGGAAUUCCCGGUGUAGUGGUGAAAUGCGUAGAUAUCGGGAGGAACACCAGUGGCGAAGGCGGCCAUCUGGACAACUACUGACACUGAGACGCGAAAGCGUGGGUAGCAAACAGG